GUUUCAAGGUGUAUGCUAGAUUUUGAAGUUUUUAGGUUUUCUAUCAAAAUGUAAAUUGUAACAGGUUCAGCUGGACCUCAUGUUCGGACGAUGCAGGCUUGGUGUUUUGCUUUGCCUUUAAUCUUCUUCUUAUUUUAUUUUUCUUGCAGUUCCCUUGCAGCUAACGGCAAUUUGCAAGCAUAAUGAUUAAAUAUCUUUAUAUCUUUCCAUCACAUGUUUAUAGCUAUCAAGAAGGUUUGGGGUUAUUGUUAUUUGCGUACUGUUUGUUUUACUUGGCAAGUUGUAGUCUUGAAUUAAUCUAGUAAAAGUAUACGAGAUAUUGGGUCUGAUUUACACAGUUUUUUUUGUUUAAUCGCAUGAGCAUUAAAUGAUUUUAGUUUUCUUUCUUCCUUGGCAUAAAUCUCAAUUCAUUCUAUUUGCUGAUUUUUGUUGGGCUGAUCAUAGUUUGAAAAGUUUAUGCUUGCGCCUGGAUGUGGACUGUUA
rnacentral:misc_RNA from 1 species